rnacentral:rRNA from 1 species
AGGGCACCACCAGGAGUGGAGCCUGCGGCUUAAUUUGACUCAACACGGGAAAUCUCACCAGGCCCGGACACCGGAAGGAUUGACAGAUUGAGGGCUCUUUCUUGAUUCGGUGGGUGGUGGUGCAUGGCCGUUCUUAGUUGGUGGAGCGAUUUGUCUGGUUAAUUCCGAUAACGAACGAGACUCUGGCCUACUAACUAGACGUUGGAUCCCUUUGUGGGUCCAUCGCAGCUUCUUAGAGGGACGGGCGGCGUUUAGCCGCACGAGAUUGAGCAAUAACAGGUCUGUGAUGCCCUUAGAUGUUCUGGGCUGCACGCGCGCUACACUGAAGGAAUCAGCGUGUGUUCCCUAUCCGAAAGGAUUGGGAAACCCGUUGAACCUCCUUCGUGAUGGGGAUUGGGGAUUGCAAUUAUUCCCCAUGAACGAGGAAUUCCCAGUAGGCGCGAGUCAUAAGCUUGCGUCGAUUACGCCCCUGCCCUUUGUACACACCGCCCGUCGCUACUACCGAUCGAGUGAUUUAGU